rnacentral:rRNA from 1 species
GACGAACGCUGGCGGCGUGCUUAACACAUGCAAGUCGAACGGAAAGGCCCUGCUUUUGUGGGGUGCUCGAGUGGCGAACGGGUGAGUAACAAGUGAGUAACCUGCCCUUGACUUUGGGAUAACUUCAGGAAACUGGGGUUAAUACCGGAUAGGAUCUCCUGCUGCAUGGUGGGGGUUGGAAAGUUUCGGCGGUUGGGGAUGGACUCGCGGCUUAUCAGCUUGUUGGUGGGGGAGUGGCUUACCAAGGCUUUGACGGGUAGCCGGCCUGGGAGGGUGACCGGCAACAUUGGGACUGGGAUACGGCCCAGACUCCUACGGGAGGCAGCAGUGGGGAAUAUUGCACAAUGGGCGGAAGCCUGAUGCAGCAACGCCGCGUGCGGGAUGACGGCCUUCGGGUUGUAAACCGCUUUCGCCUGUGACGAAGCGUGAGUGACGGUAAUGGGUAAAGAAGCACCGGCUAACUACGUG